AGAGUUUGAUCAUGGCUCAGAGCGAACGUUAGCGGCGCGCUUAACACAUGCAAGUCGCACGAGAAAGGGUCUUCGGACCCCGGUAAAGUGGCGCACGGGUGCGUAACACGUAGGCAAUCUUCCCUCAGGAGGGGGAUAACUACCCGAAAGGGUAGCUAAUACCGCGUAAGACCACAGUCACUCCGGUGACCGAGGUCAAAGGUGGCCUCUGCAUGCAAGCUACCACCAGAGGAUGAGCCUGCGGCCCAUCAGCUAGUUGGCAGGGUAACGGCCUACCAAGGCAAAGACGGGUAGCCGGUCUGAGAGGAUGAUCGGCCACACUGGCACUGAAACACGGGCCAGACUCCUACGGGAGGCAGCAGUGGGGAAUCUUGGACAAUGGGCGAAAGCCUGAUCCAGCGACGCCGCGUGGGUGAUGAAGGCCGUCGGGUUGUAAAGCCCUGUUGAAGGGAAAGAAAACGGUGGGCGCGAACAGCUCCUGCCCUUGACGGUACCCUUCCAGAAAGCACCGGCUAACUCUGUGCCAGCCGCCGCGGUAAUUC
rnacentral:rRNA from 1 species